rnacentral:rRNA from 1 species
GGAAGGAUCAUUAUUGAAAUAAAUCUGAUGGGUUGUUGCUGGUUCUCUAGGGAGCAUGUGCACGCCUUGUCAUCUUUAUAUCUCCACCUGUGCACCUUUUGUAGACCUUUCAGGUCUAUGUUGCUUCAUUUACCCCAAUGUAUGUUAAUAGAAUGUUGUGCCUAUAUACAAUAUAUACAACUUUCAGCAACGGAUCUCUUGGCUCUCGCAUCGAUGAAGAACGCAGCGAAAUGCGAUAAGUAAUGUGAAUUGCAGAAUUCAGUGAAUCAUCGAAUCUUUGAACGCACCUUGCGCUCCUUGGUAUUCCGAGGAGCAUGCCUGUUUGAGUGUCAUUAAUAUAUAUAUAUCAACCUUCUCUUGUGGAAUGGUUUGGAUGUGGGGGUUUGCUGGUUUCAUAUAUAUAUAUGGGUUCAGCUCUCCUGAAAUGCAUUAGCAGAACGACCUGUUCAUUUGGUGUGAUAACUAUCUACGCUAUUGAAUGUGAGGGGCAGUUCAGCUUUCCAACAGUCCUCUUGGACAACUCAUCAUUAAUGUGACCUCAAAUCAGGUAGGACUACCCGCUGAACUUAAGCAUAUCAAUAAGCGGAGGAAAAGAAACUAACAAGGAUUCCCCUAGUAACUGCGAGUGAAGCGGGAAAAGCUCAAAUUUAAAAUCUGGCGGUCUUUUGGCUGUCCGAGUUGUAAUCUAGAGAAGUGUUAUCCGCGCUGGACCGUGUACAAGUCUCCUGGAAUGGAGCAUCAUAGAGGGUGAGAAUCCCGUCUUUGACAUGGACUGCCAGGGCUUUGUGAUGC